CUUGCUGGCUGUAAGCCUGUGGCUUGCUGUAGGCCUGUGGGCUGGCUACUGGCCUGUGGGCUGGCUAACUGGCUGGCUACUGGCCAGCCUGUGGGGUGGCUGGCUGGCUACUGGGGCACUUGUAGAUUAUUUAAAGAAAUAAUCCAUGCACAAUAACCACUACUGCUCCAGAGUAAGUAGUCAAACCGUUUAAGAACAGUUUGACAACUUACCUGGGGUCUGCUGGGAUAUGAGGCUGUAGUUGGG